rfam:Triticum aestivum genome assembly, contig: Triticum_aestivum_CS42_TGACv1_scaffold_642065_T_5DS-0.252258_5BL-0.192338
CAGGUACUCCCUCCGUCCGGAAUUACUUAUCGUGGAAAUGGAUGUAUCUAGACAUUUUUUAGUUCUAGAUACAUCCAUUUUUAUUCAUUUUGGAGAUAAGUAGUUUCGGACGGAGGGAGUAUCAA